GUUUCUAAUAUAUUCAGGUUUUAUUACAUUCCAUGCAGCAAAUGAUAAUUAGCAAAUUUAUAUAUGCACUUAAUGCCCAUAUGAAUAAAGUUCUUAAAAAUGAAUUCGCUUAAUGAAAAUGCUUAGGAACUCGCUUGCACAUCAGAUCAAAAACAUAUUAUUUCUGGCCUGCAUUUUGAACUGUUGAAAAUUUUGCAAGAAAGAUUAAAAUUUACAGCUUACAAUUAGAUAAUGUGAAUGUUCUGGCUAAUCACAUU